UACGGAGGGUGCGAGCGUUGUCCGGAAUCACUGGGCGUAAAGGGCGCGUAGGCGGCCUGAUAAGUAGGGGGUGAAAUCCUGCGGCUUAACCGCAGGGGCUGCCUUCUAAACUGUCAGGCUCGAGCACAGUAGAGGCAGGUGGAAUUCCCGGUGUAGCGGUGGAAUGCGUAGAGAUCGGGAAGAACAUCAGUGGCGAAGGCGGCCUGCUGGGCUGUUGCUGACGCUGAGGCGCGACAGCGUGGGGGAGCAAACAGG
rnacentral:rRNA from 1 species